CCUACGGGUGGCUGCAGUGGGGAAUAUUGCACAAUGGGCGAAAGCCUGAUGCAGCAACGCCGCGUGAGCGAUGAAGGCCUUUGGGUCGUAAAGCUCUGUCCUUGGGGAAGAAACAAAUGACGGUACCCUUGGAGGAAGCCCCGGCUAACUACGUGCCAGCAGCCGCGGUAAUACGUAGGGGGCGAGCGUUAUCCGGAAUUAUUGGGCGUAAAGAGUGCGUAGGUGGCCAUGUAAGCGCGGGGUGAAAGGCAAUAGCUUAACUAUUGUAAGCCUUGCGAACUGUGUGGCUUGAGUGCAGGAGAGGAAAGUGGAAUUCCUAGUGUAGCGGUGAAAUGCGUAGAUAUUAGGAGGAACACCAGUGGCGAAGGCGACUUUCUGGACUGUAACUGACACUGAGGCACGAAAGCGUGGGGAGCAAACAGGAUUAGAUACCCUAGUAGUCG
rnacentral:rRNA from 1 species